rnacentral:misc_RNA from 1 species
AUAAAGAUAAUGAAGGGGCAAAUUUUAUAUAUGAGCUCCUUAAGAGCUCGAACUGUCCAAGGGUACCCAAUCCCCUGACAGUUCUAAUAUAUUAUUAUCAUGGCUCUACUGGUGGCUUUAGGCCAGCCACCUCGGCCUCAGCAGAAGAGGAAACAAUGUCUACAACAUUUUCAGAAACUCUAGUUUUACCAAUUUCAUCCCUUGUACUAGUUUCAAUUCUUGAAGCAUCUUGUGUAUCAGUAAUCACCACUCCUCUUGCUCUGCGUUUCCAAGUAUGUUUGUGUUGUUGCACUAUAGGAUUACCGUUUUCAUCUGAAUUAGAUCG